CAAUCUCCGGUAGCCUAGUGGUUAGAGCGUCCGCCUUGGAUGCGGCAGGUCGCGUGUUCGAACCCCGGUCGAUUGA